UUCUUAUUGGAUGAUGGUUGCUACGUGUCAUAUUCUGAUUGGAUGUCAACUCCAUAGAAGAUGAAAUAUAUUAUUAUUUUCAUUGACCAAUCAGAACAUGACACGUGACAGUCAUCAUCU
rfam:Glycine soja cultivar W05 scaffold628_25, whole genome shotgun sequence.